UGCAGCCAACGGAGCCUCACUAAAGU
rnacentral:piRNA from 1 species